UCUAGUGUAGUAUAAUGGUUUGAGCGUUGGACUACAACUCUGGAGACCAUGGUUCGAAUCCUCGCUCUGCCA